rnacentral:tRNA from 1 species
AGGUCCUAGAUGUUCGAGCGGACGGGUUGGUCUCCAAAACCGACCGGGAGGGUGCGAGUCCCUCAGGACCUGCCA